UGGAGUUGAUCCUGGCUCAGAUUGAACGCUGGCGGCAUGCUUUACACAUNCAGUCGAACGGUAACAGGAGCUUGCUCCGCUGACGAGUGGCGAACGGGUGAGUAAUAUAUCGGAACGUACCUUUGAGUGGGGGAUAACUAGUCGAAAGAUUAGCUAAUACCGCAUACGAUCUACGGAUGAAAGUGGGGGAUCGCAAGACCUCAUGCUCAUAGAGCGGCCGAUAUCUGAUUAGCUAGUUGGUGAGGUAAAGGCUCACCAAGGCAUCGAUCAGUAGCUGGUCUGAGAGGACGACCAGCCACACUGGGACUGAGACACGGCCCAGACUCCUACGGGAGGCAGCAGUGGGGAAUUUUGGACAAUGGGGGCAACCCUGAUCCAGCAAUGCCGCGUGAGUGAAGAAGGCCUUCGGGUUGUAAAGCUCUUUUGUCAGGGAAGAAACGGGAUGUCCUAAUACGAUGUCCUAAUGACGGUACUGAAGAAUAAGACNCGCGUU
rnacentral:rRNA from 1 species